AGUGAACGCUGGCGGUAGGCCUAACACAUGCAAGUCGAACGGCAGCACAGUAAGAGCUUGCUCUUACGGGUGGCGAGUGGCGGACGGGUGAGGAAUACAUCGGAAUCUACUUUUUCGUGGGGGAUAACGAAGGGAAACUUACGCUAAUACCGCAUACGACCUACGGGUGAAAGCAGGGGAUCUUCGGACCUUGCGCGACUGAAUGAGCCGAUGUCGGAUUAGCUAGUUGGCGGGGUAAAGGCCCACCAAGGCGACGAUCCGUAGCUGGUCUGAGAGGAUGAUCAGCCACACUGGAACUGAGACACGGUCCAGACUCCUACGGGAGGCAGCAGUGGGGAAUAUUGGACAAUGGGCGCAAGCCUGAUCCAGCCAUACCGCGUGGGUGAAGAAGGCCUUCGGGUUGUAAAGCCCUUUUGUUGGGAAAGAAAAGCAGCAGGUUAAUACCCCGCUGUUCUGACGGUACCCAAAGAAUAAGCACCGGCUAACUUCGUG
rnacentral:rRNA from 1 species